UGCAGUCGAGCGCGGGAAGCAGGCAGAUCCUCUUCGGAGGUGACGCUUGUGGAACGAGCGGCGGACGGGUGAGUAACACGUGGGCAACCUGCCUGUAAGAUUGGGAUAACCCCGGGAAACCGGGGCUAAUACCGGAUAAUACUUUUCGUUGCAUAACGAGAAGUUGAAAGGCGGCUUUUAGCUGUCACUUACAGAUGGGCCCGCGGCGCAUUAGCUAGUUGGUAAGGUAACGGCUUACCANGGCGACGAUGCGUAGCCGACCUGANNGGGUGAUCGGCCACACUGGGACUGAGACACGGCCCAGACUCCUACGGGAGGCAGCAGUAGGGAAUCUUCCGCAAUGGACGAAAGUCUGACGGAGCAACGCCGCGUGAGUGAUGA
rnacentral:rRNA from 1 species